rnacentral:rRNA from 1 species
UACGGAGGGGACUAGCGUUGUUCGGAAUUACUGGGCGUAAAGCGCACGUAGGCGGAUUUGUAAGUCAGGGGUGAAAUCCCGGGGCUCAACCUCGGAACUGCCUUUGAUACUGCAAAUCUCGAGUCCGGAAGAGGUGAGUGGAAUUCCUGGUGUAGCGGUGGAAUGCGCAGAUAUCAGGAGGAACACCAAUAGCGAAGGCAGCUCGCUGGGACGUUACUGACACUGAGGCGCGAAAGCGUGGGGAGCGAACAGG